rnacentral:rRNA from 1 species
CCUGGCUCAGAUUGAACGCUGGCGGCAUGCUUUACACAUGCAAGUCGGACGGCAGCGGAGGUGCUUGCACCUGCCGGCGAGUGGCGAACGGGUGAGUAACAUAUUGGAAUGUACCGAGUAGUGGGGGAUAACCAAUCGAAAGAUUGGCUAAUACCGCAUACGUCCUGAGGGGGAAAGCAGGGGAUCUUCGGACCUUGCGCUAUUUGAGCAGCCAAUAUCUGAUUAGCUAGUUGGUGGGCCUUUACCCCACCAAGGCGACGAUCAGUAGCGGGUCUGAGAGGAUGAUCCGCCACACUGGGACUGAGACACGGCCCAGACUCCUACGG